GAAAAGCCUAUCGAACUUAAUGAUAGCUGGUUGUCCAAAAAAUGAAUUUAAGUUCAACUUUAAAUUUAACCUAAGUACCUAUAGACAUUAUUUAAAUUUAAAUGUUACUCAAAAGAGGGACAACUCUUUUGAUAUGUAGACAAACUUUUCUAGAGGAUAAUGGAACUAACACAAAACAUCGUAGGCCUAAGAGCAGCCAUCAAUUAAGAAAGCGUUAAAGCUCAAACUUAUUUAAUACUUAAUACCUAUAAUUAAUCAAAAUCCCUAAUCUUAUAUUGGACAAUUCUAUUUUUAUUUAGAAGAUAUAAUGCUAAUAUGAGUAACCUGAAUAUAUUCUCCUUGCACAAGCAUAUAUACAGAUCGGAACAACCGCUUACACUUAACCAAACAAAUAAUUAUAACUAUAUACUAGUACCUUAUUAUAUAUUUUGUUAACCCAACCCAGGUGUGCAUGUAAAGGAAAGAUUAAAAGGAAUAAAAGGAACUCGGCAAAUAUGAACCCCGCCUGUUUACCAAAAACAUCACCUCUAGCAUUUACCAGUAUUAGAGGCAUUGCCUGCCCGGUGAGUUAUGACUUUAACGGCCGCGGUAUCCUGACCGUGCAAAGGUAGCAUAAUCACUUGUCUCUUAAUUGGAGACUAGUAUGAAUGGCACCACGA
rnacentral:ncRNA from 1 species